GCCCCUUUGUCUGCCCGCAGACACACAGCUGCCAAACAGCCAGGCUCAAAACUCUACCUUCUUGGACUCUUCCCUGUUUCCAGCCACCGACAUUUAAUCAUUUCAAUUGGACAGACAUGAACAUGACCAACUUUCGCUAGAUCCUUCUUCACAGAGAAAUCCCCAUCCCAGCAUAACCUGCACUGGCCCAUUUCACCCCCUCCCACCUUCUCUCCCUGCCUAGCUGCUCCCUGGGUUUUCUGUAUCAUUCCCUUCUUCUGCCUUCCUCCUGCAGCCUUCAGCAAUGAAGAGUAAGCUCAUAAAACAUUCACCGUGGGUAAUACACCAUGUAGGAUCUGCCUGAUCAAAGUUCUGAUAGGAUAGCCGGGUCAGUAGGAUGCUGGGCUUCCGAGAGUUGGGGCAGACUUCUCUGCCUUGGGCUCAAGUUCCAGUCACUUCCAUUAAUCCAGGCUCAAUCCUCCCUGGUGGGGUGAGGGAUCCUGGGCCCAGUAGAAGAGGGGUUUCCUAAGAGGGAGUAACUUGUAGGGGUACUCCUGAGCUAGGCAUGACUGGUAGGUGGAGCUCUGGAUAAAAGCUGAAGACAAGGGCCUCACAUGGAUACAUGGCCAGUCCACUGGGCACUUCCUCUGUGCCAGGUGUUACAGCGAGAGUUGGGAGGCACCGAGCAGCUCCAGGCUGUCCAGUGACUGUGCCACCAAGUCCCUUGCAAAGGCAAGGCUCUCGGCUGAACUACCAGACUGCCCUGGUGUGGCUCUGACGGCUGACAGUGAAUCCCAACCCAGCAGGAUGUUUUGUUCCGGAGGAGCCUUGAAGUCCAUUCGGCCUAUGAAAGAGGCAAAGGUCAAUCUGCCGAACCUGGGAAGAUCCCCAGGGGCUAUGGACUUCUUCCUGCUUUUCUCUCCAUGGAUACCACAUUCCAUUUAUUUGUCAU
ensembl:lncRNA